rnacentral:rRNA from 1 species
UACGGGAGGCAGCAGUGGGGAAUAUUGCAUAAUGGGCGCAAGCCUGAUGCAGCCAUGCCGCGUGUAUGAAAAAGGCCUUCGGGUUGUAAAGUACUUUCAGUCGUGAGGAAGGUGUUAAGGUUAAUAACCUUAGCAAUUGACGUUAGCGACAGAAGAAGCACCGGCUAACUCCGUGCCAGCAGCCGCGGUAAUACGGAGGGUGCGAGCGUUAAUCGGAAUUACUGGGCGUAAAGGGCACGCAGGCGGUUAAUUAAGUUGGAUGUGAAAUCCCCGGGCUUAACCUGGGAAUGGCAUUCAAGACUGGUUAGCUAGAGUCUUGUAGAGGGGGUAGAAUUCCAUGUGUAGCGGUGAAAUGCGUAGAGAUGUGGAGGAAUACCGGUGGCGAAGGCGGCCCCUGGACAAAGACUGACGCUCAUGUGCGAAAAGCGUGGGGAGCGAAAACAGGGAUUAGAUACC